CUGGCAAGGCCAUGAAAAGAACCCACUCCCCGAGAAGAGCUGGCUGGGUUUUGAGCUCCAGGCUGCUGGCACAUGCCACCUGCCCAGAAACAAUUCCUACAGGGCUAUAUCUCAGGAAGAGAUGCUCAAGGUCCAUGGGAGCAGUGCUACACAAGUAUGGGCUGCUGGCUGGAGCACGUCUGAGAAUCCUUGGGUACCAGUUGGUGAUAAGAGAUGAAGGCAUUUCUCAAUGGUUGUUGUCCUUGAACCUGGAUUGUAUCUCUUCUUCCUUGGAACCCAGCAGUUGACAUUGAUGAAGACAAUAUAAACAGGUCACCUUCGACUGCAAGGACAUUUCUGCCAACCGUGAAUAUACUUUAAGGGCCUUUGAUCAAAGGCGAAGAAAACAAGCUAACUACUCAAUGUCACAUCCACUGCUCGGUUUUCUCCUGGAGGGUGGCCACAGGCAGCCACGGUCUGUCACUCUAAACAUACCUUUAUUGCCUCAGGCAUCUGAUGAGCUCAAAUUAAGUCAACCUGAUUGCUACAAUUCAUUUUUCACUUCUUGGCUGUUGUCACUUUCCCCUUCCAUGUAAAUUAAUACAAAAGAAAUUCCAGCUCACAUUCUUUUCAAGUUGUUAA